UACGGAGGGUGCAAGCGUUAAUCGGAAUUACUGGGCGUAAAGGGUGCGUAGGUUGUACGACAAGUUAUCUGUGAAAGCCCUGGGCUCAACCUGGGAAGGCCAGAUAAGACUGUUGAACUAGAGUAUGGGAGAGGGUAGUGGAAUUUCCGGUGUAGCGGUGAAAUGCGUAGAGAUCGGAAGGAACACCAGUGGCGAAGGCGGCUACCUGGCCUAAUACUGACACUGAAGCACGAAAGCGUGGGGAGCAAACAGG
rnacentral:rRNA from 1 species